rnacentral:misc_RNA from 1 species
GUUUAAUGUCAUUCCAAAGCAGAAUAUAACGUUUCUUUAUUAUAUCAAUAUCAAUUCAAGAAACUGAUUAUUAUGUGUAGAUGUAAUAGGUCAAAUCAUCUCUCUCCUUCUCUCUCUGCNNNNCAUUCAAAGCCUCAAAACACACCUCCAAAAUAGCCUCAACAACAUUCAGGAAACAUCUCCUAAACACUAAGCUCCAUGUUCAAAACAGCCGCCUCUAUCCUCGUAUCCAUAGCGAUAUCUUUCAGCUUGCUCUUCUCUUCUCCUCCAAAAUCCUACUAUCACUCCCUCUACAUAUCCAAAUCCCUAUCCGACAAUGCAUCCGUAUCACACCACCUCUACAUGCUCACCCGUCGGCCCCAUGUUGCUGGAACGGAAGCCAACGCUGAGGAUGCAGAAUAUGUUCUGUCCACUUUUGCUUCUUGCAACAUUAAAUCUCAUAAAACCUCCUAUGAUGUGUCCCUGACAUAUCCUGUUUCUCGUUCCUUAACUCUAACAAACCCACCUCCAGAACAACCGAUCAUAUUCGAUCUCCAUCAGCAGAUAUAUGAUGGGGAUCCAUAUGCAGAUGUGGCAAAUGAAGUUCUACCUACCUUUCAUGCCUAUGCAAAGUCAGGAACUGUAAGUGGACCUGUGGUUUAUGUAAAUUAUGGACGAGUGGAGGACUACACUACAUUGAAAAAAAUAGGCGUGAACGUAUCCGGAACAGUUGUGUUGGCAAGGUACGGACAGAUAUAUAGAGGAGACAUAGUGCAGAAUGCAUUUGAGGCAGGUGCUAUAGGGACAGUCAUCUACACAGACAGGAAAGACUAUGGCGGUGGAGCAAGUGGAGGAUGGUUUCCGGACGCCAAGUGGAUGCCUCCAAGCGGGGUCCAGGUAGGGUCUGUUUAUGAUGGAGCUGGUGAUCCCACCACCCCUGGAUGGGCAAGUAUCCAAGGAUGUGAGAGGCUAUCAGGUGAGGAAGUAGAAAAAGAAGGGUUUGUUCCAUUGAUACCGUCUUUGCCAAUAUCAGCAUCCGACGGUGAAACAGUCAUGAGAUCAAUGGGCGGACAAGUGGCUAACGAGGAUUGGCAAGGAAGCAAAGAUGGUCCAACUUAUAGGGUUGGACCAGGGCCAGGGGUUCUAAACCUCAGUUAUACUGGGAAGCAAACUAUUGCAACAAUUCAUAAUGUUAUUGGUGUAAUAGAAGGAGCAGAAGAACCUGAUCGAUUUGUCCUUCUGGGUAAUCAUCGGGAUGCAUGGACAUUUGGAGCUGUUGAUCCCAACAGUGGCACGGCAACACUGCUAGAGGUUGCUCAAAGAUUUGAAAAGCUACAGAAAAGAGGGUGGAAACCUCGAAGAACAAUUGUCCUGUGCAAUUGGGACGCAGAGGAAUAUGGCCUGAUAGGAUCAACCGAAUGGGUAGAAGACAACAGAGAGAUGCUAUCUUCAAGGGCCGUAGCCUACUUGAAUGUUGAUUCUGCAGUGUCUGGAGCAGAAUUUCAUGGCUCUGCAACUCCUCAACUUGAUGAACUACUCAUACAGGCUACUAAACAGGUUCAAGACCCUGAUAACUCAUCACGAACCAUCUAUGAGUCAUGGGUUAGUUCCAGCGGCUCUCCUGUGAUUGAGAGAUUGGGUGGUGGAGGGUCUGAUUAUGCAGCUUUUGUGCAACAUAUCGGUGUUGCAUCAGCUGAUUUAUC